rnacentral:misc_RNA from 1 species
CCGAGAACGCGUCUCUCAGGCGCAUCUCCCACCCUUUGUAUACCUUACUCUGUUGCUUUGGCGGGCCCGUCUCACGACCACCGGCCCCGGCUGGUCCGCGCCCGCCAGAGGACCACAAACUCUUGUAAUCAUGCCGUCUGAGUAAAAACACAAAUACGUUA